AAAUUGAAGAGUUUGAUCAUGGCUCAGAUUGAACGCUGGCGGCAGGCCUAACACAUGCAAGUCGAGCGGUAGCACAGAGAGCUUGCUCUCGGGUGACGAGCGGCGGACGGGUGAGUAAUGUCUGGGAAACUGCCUGAUGGAGGGGGAUAACUACUGGAAACGGUAGCUAAUACCGCAUAACGUCGCAAGACCAAAGUGGGGGACCUUCGGGCCUCAUGCCAUCAGAUGUGCCCAGAUGGGAUUAGCUAGUAGGUGGGGUAAUGGCUCACCUAGGCGACGAUCCCUAGCUGGUCUGAGAGGAUGACCAGCCACACUGGAACUGAGACACGGUCCAGACUCCUACGGGAGGCAGCAGUGGGGAAUAUUGCACAAUGGGCGCAAGCCUGAUGCAGCCAUGCCGCGUGUGUGAAGAAGGCCUUCGGGUUGUAAAGCACUUUCAGCGGGGAGGAAGGCGAUAAGGUUAAUAACCUUGUCGAUUGACGUUACCCGCAGAAGAAGCACCGGCUAACUCCGUGCCAGCAGCCGCGGUAAUACGGAGGGUGCAAGCGUUAAUCGGAAUUACUGGGCGUAAAGCGCACGCAGGCGGUCUGUCAAGUCGGAUGUGAAAUCCCCGGGCUUAACCUGGGAACUGCAUUCGAAACUGGCAGGCUAGAGUCUUGUAGAGGGGGGUAGAAUUCCAGGUGUAGCGGUGAAAUGCGUAGAGAUCUGGAGGAAUACCGGUGGCGAAGGCGGCCCCCUGGACAAAGACUGACGCUCAGGUGCGAAAGCGUGGGGAGCAAACAGGAUUAGAUACCCUGGUAGUCCACGCCGUAAACGAUGUCGAUUUGGAGGUUGUGCCCUUGAGGCGUGGCUUCCGGAGCUAACGCGUUAAAUCGACCGCCUGGGGAGUACGGCCGCAAGGUUAAAACUCAAAUGAAUUGACGGGGGCCCGCACAAGCGGUGGAGCAUGUGGUUUAAUUCGAUGCAACGCGAAGAACCUUACCUGGUCUUGACAUCCACAGAACUUUCCAGAGAUGGAUUGGUGCCUUCGGGAACUGUGAGACAGGUGCUGCAUGGCUGUCGUCAGCUCGUGUUGUGAAAUGUUGGGUUAAGUCCCGCAACGAGCGCAACCCUUAUCCUUUGUUGCCAGCGGUUCGGCCGGGAACUCAAAGGAGACUGCCAGUGAUAAACUGGAGGAAGGUGGGGAUGACGUCAAGUCAUCAUGGCCCUUACGACCAGGGCUACACACGUGCUACAAUGGUAUAUACAAAGAGAAGCGACCUCGCGAGAGCAAGCGGACCUCAUAAAGUAUGUCGUAGUCCGGAUUGGAGUCUGCAACUCGACUCCAUGAAGUCGGAAUCGCUAGUAAUCGUAGAUCAGAAUGCUACGGUGAAUACGUUCCCGGGCCUUGUACACACCGCCCGUCACACCAUGGGAGUGGGUUGCAAAAGAAGUAGGUAGCUUAACCUUCGGGAGGGCGCUUACCACUUUGUGAUUCAUGACUGGGGUGAAGUCGUAACAAGGUAACCGUAGGGGAACCUGCGGUUGGAUCACCUCCUUACCUUAAAGAA
rnacentral:rRNA from 1 species